rnacentral:rRNA from 1 species
UACAGAGGGUGCGAGCGUUAAUCGGAAUUACUGGGCGUAAAGCGCACGUAGGUGGCGACGCAAGUCGGGUGUGAAAGCCCCGGGCUCAACCUGGGAAUUGCAUUCGAGACUGCAUUGCUAGAGUAUGGGAGAGGGAAGUGGAAUUUCCGGUGUAGCGGUGAAAUGCGUAGAUAUCGGAAGGAACAUCAGUGGCGAAAGCGACUUCCUGGACCAAUACUGACGCUCAUGUGCGAAAGCGUGGGGAGCAAACAGG